rnacentral:rRNA from 1 species
AACGAACGCUGGCGGCAUGCCUAACACAUGCAAGUCGAACGAGACCUUCGGGUCUAGUGGCGCACGGGUGCGUCACGCGUGGGAACCUGCCCUUAGGUUCGGAAUAACUCCCCGAAAGGGGUGCUAAUACCGGAUAAUGUCUUCGGACCAAAGAUUUAUCGCCUUUGGAUGGGCCCGCGUUGGUUUAGCUUGUUGGUAGGGUAAAAGCCUACCAAGGCGACGAUCCAUAGCUGGUCUGAGAGGAUGAUCAGCCACACUGGGACGGAGACACGGCCCAGACUACUACGGGAGGGAGGAGAGGGGAAUAUAGGACAAUGGGCGAAAGCCAGAACCAGCAAUGCCGCGUGAGUGAUGAAGGCCUGAGGGAUGUAAAGCUCGUUUACCCGGGAUGAUAAUGACAGUACCGGGAGAAUAAGCACCGGCUAACUCCGUG